rnacentral:rRNA from 1 species
CCUACGGGAGGCUGCAGUAGGGAAUCUUCGGCAAUGGGGGCAACCCUGACCGAGCAACGCCGCGUGAGUGAAGAAGGUUUUCGGAUCGUAAACCUCUGUUGUUAGAGAAGAACGUUAUGUAGAGUGGAAAAUUACUUAAGUGACGGUAUCUAACCAGAAUGGGACGGCGAACUACGUGCAAGCAGCGGCGGUAAUACGUAGGUCCCAAGCGUUGUCAGGAUUUAUUGGGCGUAAAGCGAGCGCAGGUGGUUUCUUAUGUCGGAGGUAAAAGGCAGUGGCCCAACCAUUGUGUGCAUUGGAAACUGGGGGACUUGAGUGCAGGAGAGGAGAGUGGAAUUCCAUGUGUAGCGGUGAAAUGCGUAGAUAUAUGGAGGAACACCGGAGGCGAAAGCGGCUCUCUGGACUGUAACUGACACUGAGGCUCGAAAGCGUGGGGAGCAAACAGGAUUAGAUACCCUUGUAGUC